rnacentral:rRNA from 1 species
UACAGAGGGUGCGAACGUUGCUCGGAAUUACUGGGCGUAAAGCGCGUGUAGGCGGGACGAUAAGUCGGAAGUGAAAUCCCCGGGCUCAACCCGGGAACUGCUUUCGAAACUGCCGUCCUCGAGUACCGGAGAGGGUGGCGGAAUUCCGUGGUGUAGAGGUGAAAUUCGUAGAUAUCAGGAGGAACGAGCCGGUGGCGAAGGCGGCCGACCUGGACGGUCACUGACGCUGGAGGCGACGGAAAGCGUGGGGAGCAAACAGG